GGAGACGUGGCAGAGUGGUUGAUUGCAGCGGGCUUGAACCCCGCCGUGUCGUUUGGCACCGUGAGUUCGAAUCUCACCGUCUCCGCCA
rnacentral:tRNA from 1 species